rnacentral:rRNA from 1 species
UACGAAGGGGGCUAGCGUUGCUCGGAAUUACUGGGCGUAAAGCGCACGUAGGCGGCUUCUUAAGUCGGUGGUGAAAUCCUGGAGCUCAACUCCAGAACUGCCUUCGAUACUGGGGAGCUCGAGUCCGGGAGAGGUGAGUGGAACUGCGAGUGUAGAGGUGAAAUUCGUAGAUAUUCGCAAGAACACCAGUGGCGAAAGGCGGCUCACUGGCCCGGUACUGACGCUGAGGUGCGAAAGCGUGGGGAGCAAACAGG